AAUGCCUACCUGCUGAUGGGAAAUGGUGAAUGAAUUCCUUAUUUUGCUUUAUUUGUGCAUGUGGCUUUUGCUUUAUCUGUUGAACUACUUUUAUCUCAAUCCACACAUUUUCUUACUUUCACCUUUCUGAUUGUCUCACCCAUCCCACUAGUGGAUGUCUUCAUGCAGAAAUCCACAUGUAUGAAUUACAGACACAUUCACAGCUACCUGGAGGUGUGCCUUAGAGAUCUUUACACACAGUGACUUUAACACUCCUGUCCAGCUGUAGCACUCUUUCUAGAAUACCUCUGCAAUAGCAGUGUUUCCUGAGAGAACUGGCAAAGCACCAAGUCACCAUUUCAUAAUUGCCCAGACUGGGCACUUUUCUCACAAUAUUUCAUAAGUAGCUUGGAGUGUGCUCUGGGCAUGAAGAGCACCCAGUUGCACAAGAGGUCAUAAACUUGUUAACCAAUUAGAUAUCACUUUAUAUAUCUCAGCUAUUAACACAAACAAUCUGACUUUAGGAACAGCUUAACCCUGCAGAUAAAAGAAGAUUCUUUAUGUGAAGAGUGUGAACAGAAGUCUAUGAAGCUUGUACCUUAACUUUCCAGCAGCUCCUUGGCUGUCCGGCUGCGCUUCCUCUCCCAGCGAGCCCUCUGCUCUUCCACAGUGUUUGCUCCAGCCAUAAACAGCAGGGGCAAGUCACUCAUGACAACCUCAGGGCUGAUACACAGAAAGGUACAUCAACCAGAGGAGCAGUGUAAGAAAGACCAAACCAUGAAAACAAAAGCAGUACAUUACAAUAUGUCUAUGAAUAAUUCUCAAGCAUGCAAUCCCACUCACAAACCACUGCUUCCUGUGCUUUGCCCCAUUAUUUGUGCAAAAUUUUCUGUAAGCCCAAGGAAGCCAGUGGGUGGCAGAGGUACUGUGGGUAGGAGCAGAAAGCGGCCAUAAGAUUUGCCUUGGGGAGGAAAGAGAAAGAAAGAGCACAUUCUUGCUUUUUUUUCCCAUGGAGGUUUCCAAGAAACAAGUGGUUUACAUUGUCAUUUUCUAACAGUAUUUUGUGGUUUGAGAUGAGAGAAACUCAGUAACUGCUGUGAAUCACACUAUCCACUUAGUGACCAGUUUCACUGCUGCUCUUCUCUUCUGCAAGAGCAUCAUGUUUUGUUACAAAGAAAAACACUCCCUCUUUUACUGCCUUCCUCAGAGAAAGACGCAUGUGUUAGCUCAGCACCAGUUAAAUAUUGCUCUGCCUUUUGAUCAAAAGGCAGCGCAGGCUGUUGCACACUUGCCAUGGCAUGGAGCCUGGAGUUUCUCUGGAAGCUGAACUACCUCCACAAAAGUUCAUCCCUAUGUGGGUGAGAUACACGAAUACAUGAAGAUGUGUCGCCUUAGGGAAGGAAAUUUGUCAAAUACAGCCUUCCAGAGAUAUUUGAUACCUAAACAAAUGUCUGAAACAAAAGUUUCACAUCAAAUGAGUAUCAAGACUUGUUUAAUGAGUUAGCAGAAGUCUGGAUAGUGAGGGGCAUGGGCAGCAUUUUAUAGCAGCAGAAGCUUCUCU